rnacentral:rRNA from 1 species
CCUACGGGGGGCAGCAGUGGGGAAUAUUGCACAAUGGGGGAAACCCUGAUGCAGCGACGCCGCGUGAGUGAAGACGUAAUUCGUUAUGUAAAGCUCUAUCAGCAGGGAAGAAAAGGACGGUACCUGAGUAAGAAUCCCCGGCUAACUACGUGCCAGCAGCCGCGGUAAUACGUAGGGUGCCAGCGUUAUCCGGAUUUACUGGGUGUAAAGGGAGCGUAGACGGCAGUGCAAGUCUGGAGUGAAAGGGGGGGGCUCAACCCCAGGACUGCUGUUGAAACUGUACGGCUGGAGUGCAGGAGAGGUAAGUGGAAUUCGUGGUGUAGCGGUGAAAUGCGUAGAUAUUAGGAGGAACACCAGUGGCGAAGGCGACUAUCUGGCACAUAACUGACGCUGAGGAGCGAAAGCGUGGGUAGCAAACAGGAUUAGAUACCCUAGUAGUC